UACGGAGGGUGCAAGCGUUGUCCGGAAUCACUGGGCGUAAAGGGCGCGUAGGCGGCUCGUGAAGGCUGUGGUGAAAGUCCGGGGCUCAACCUCGGAUCGGCCGUGGCGACUCGUGGGCUGGAGCACUGUAGAGGCGGGUGGAAUUCCGGGUGUAGCGGUGGAAUGCGUAGAGAUCCGGAAGAACACCAGUGGCGAAGGCGGCCCGCUGGGCAGUGGCUGACGCUGAGGCGCGACAGCGUGGGGAGCAAACGGG
rnacentral:rRNA from 1 species